rnacentral:misc_RNA from 1 species
GUUCGAGCGUCAUUACAACCCUCAAGCUCUGCUUGGUAUUGGGCGUCACCUUUUAUUGUGCGCCUCAAAAUCAGUGGCGGUGCCACCUGGCUCCUAGCGUAGUAAAACUUUCUCGCUACAGAGCUGUGGUGUUUGCUUGCCAGCAACCCUUAUUUUUAUAGGUUGACCUCGGAUCAGGUAGGGAUACCCGCUGAACUUAA